UUAAGUCUAUCACGAACUCGAUCUUUCGAUCUAGCGGCAUCCCCGGCAACUCCGUAGGAAAUACAUCCGGAAAUUCCCGAACCACCAACAACUCCUCGAGUGCCGGAACCACUCGGUCUGCUUCCACAACGGUCGCCAAAUAAGCUACGCAACCGCUGUUAACCAAUUUUCUUGCUCUCAUCGCAGAUACCGUCGCGGCGAAGCAUGAGCUCUUGCACGCUCGAUACGUGAACUCCUCCUGCCUUGGCUCUCGAAACGUUACCACCUUAUACCUGUAGUCAAUAGACGCGUAAUAUUUCGAAAGCCA
rnacentral:lncRNA from 1 species